CAGCCGCCGCGGUAAUACGGAGGGGGCUAGCGUUGUUCGGAAUUACUGGGCGUAAAGCGUGCGUAGGCGGUUACUCAAGUCAGAGGUGAAAGCCCGGGGCUCAACCCCGGAACUGCCUUUGAAACUAGGUAACUAGAAUCUUGGAGAGGCCAGUGGAAUUCCGAGUGUAGAGGUGAAAUUCGUAGAUAUUCGGAAGAACACCAGUGGCGAGGGCGACUGACUGGACAAGUAUUGACGCUGAGGUGCGUAAGCGUGGGGAGCAAACAGGAUUAGAUACCCCGGUAGUCCCUGUCUCUUAUAC
rnacentral:rRNA from 1 species